rnacentral:siRNA from 1 species
UAAACAGAGAAAGAGAUAGAGG